rnacentral:lncRNA from 1 species
UUUGUGUAGCGCGGCGAGUUAUGAGCAAGUAAAGCCAGGAAGUCAGAUAGAUGAAUAGCUCCAUUGGUACACUCCCGUUCCAUGCCUACAGCAAUAAACAACAGGACAACUCUCCUUGGGACGAGAUAUGAAGUAGCCCGAGCUCUGCUUACCGAUUAAUAAAUCGAAUGGGCUUUCCCCUUUUCUUCUUUUGCAUUUCUAUAUUCUAUAUGGAAAGUUCUACGAUACGCUCUUUUCUCAUUUCAUUAACAAGUUUCACUACGGGGUUGACAGAAUAUAGCUUAACUACUAAUCGAAAGCUACGGGUACCCAAAAUCCAACAAGUGGAGGGGAAUGGGAUUAUACCACCAUACACUUAAUGAGUUUCCACAGCGUACAGAAAGAAAGGCUUGCUUCGGUUGAGGACUUUUUCGAAAGGCAUUGAACUGCAGGAAUGGCUAGACUGAUUCGAAUGCUUACGGAAUGGACCCCGAGAAGGAAUAGAAUAAUAAGAUACACACCCAAUAGACUAGAAGCAAAGCGAAUGAAAACAACAUAAGCAAAGGCUCUUCGUAAGAACGGAAAAACUCGUUAUUUAACGCCUCCACUGAUUCACCAAUCGCUUCUUUCAAGGCUUCUUAAACCAGGACCGCAUCGAAAAGCGGAUACCCUUGACUUUGUUGAGUAAAGCCAAUAUUUCUCGCCUACUUGCCUCGGCUCACUGAACUGGGUGACUCAACUUUCUUUCGAGAAGACAGUCAAAGCAGAAGACUCACUUUAGGGUGUUGUGAUCCUAGUAGAAGGAGCAGGGGCACUGAGAAAAGAUGCAAUUGAUCCUGCUCCCCCGCUAACUAAGCUCUAGGCAAGCAAGCCUCCGCUCGGAUUACCUGAGUAAGUGUGAGACUCCACCGAUUGAGAGUGACUUCCAGCCGGAGAUUGAAAUGACUUCCUUCCAACAUGUUAAGGGACUCCAGACUUGUAAAAGCGCGUAAAAGCAGCACAGUACCAGCAUCAAAACCUUCCUUCUAAAUAAACUCAUGGGGAGGACAGGACUCCGAAUCCGAUCAAAGGGAAUUGACCGCCCCUAAGAAGAAGGUAAGAAUAUAUCCUGGCUAACUAACAUAUGCCUUGGUGGAAACUGAAACGACUAUGUCAGGACCCUGGGUGAGUAGAUCGCAAAUUGGCCUAAGAGGAAUGACUAGCUAUCAAGCUAUAAGUGCAAAUCCCAGUUCUUACCAUCAUCGAAUGAGCGGUGGAAUAGAAGAAUUGUGAGCUCCUCUGGGAUAUAAGGAAGAGCAGGUCUUUUACUGGUCUUUAAGCUCAUAGGCUUUGAUAGGUAUGAAGUCUUUCUACUGCUAUAAGAGGAGGUGAAGCGGAAUAAACAUGAACUCAUCUUUCUGCCCUUUCUACUGAAUAAACAUGAACUCAUCUUUCUGCCCUUUCUACUGCCUUUCCCGGAUCUAAUGGUAAAGCAUACUAUCUCUUUAGCAGACGAGUAACACCUAUUAAGACAUCCUCCAAACCUUUUCAAGACGGUAAGCCUCCGAGCAACAAGGCGGAAUUGGAUUCUGGAAUUCUACUUCAAUAAAAGAUGAUAUGAUUGAUAUAUGAAAUUAGACAUUAGACAUUAGAC